rnacentral:rRNA from 1 species
CAGUCGCCGCGGGAAUACGAAGGGCGCAAGCGUUAAUCGGAAUUACUGGGCGUAAAGCGUGCGUAGGCGGUUUGUUAAGUCUGCUGUGAAAUCCCCGGGCUCAACCUGGGAAUGGCAGUGGAUACUCGCAAGCUAGAGUGUGUCAGAGGAUGGUGGAAUUCCCGGUGUAGCGGUGAAAUGCGUAGAGAUCGGGAGGAACAUCAGUGGCGAAGGCGGCCAUCUGGGACAACACUGACGCUGAGGCACGAAAGCGUGGGGAGCAAACAGGAUUAGAUACCCCGGUAGUCCCUGUCUCUUAUAC